CAUUUAGAGUUGGUCCCUUUGA
rnacentral:piRNA from 1 species